rnacentral:rRNA from 1 species
UACGUAGGGCGCGAGCGUUGUCCGGAAUUAUUGGGCGUAAAGAGCUCGUAGGUGGCUUGUUGCGUCUGCCGUGAAAGCCCGUGGCUUAACUACGGGUCUGCGGUGGAUACGGGCAGGCUAGAGGCUGGUAGGGGCAAGCGGAAUUCCAGGUGUAGCGGUGAAAUGCGUAGAUAUCUGGAGGAACACCGGUGGCGAAGGCGGCGUUCUGGACUGCAACUGACACUGAGGAACGAAAGCCAGGGGAGCAAACGGG